GAAUGUGUUCACCUCACGCACACCUCAGACCACGUUUUUAUUGAGAUAGCUGCAGGUGAAAGGAUAAGGUGAACAUGAAAUAUAAGGUCCAACGAGUGGUAAAGCAGCCAUAACAGCUGGAUGGGAAUGCUGCUGUAUGGGAUCUAGCGGCAUUCCUCCUCCUCCUCCUCAUCCUCCCGUCUACCACCAACUUCUCUCAUCUUUCUCUUUUUCUCCUACUGCCUCUGUCUCUCUCCCAGGGAAGGUGUGUCACUCCCCUGUUACUGUUAUUAUGUCUUCCACAGCCUCUCACGGUGUGCGAGUGUGCGUGGGUCCAUCUGUGUACACCGUAUGCUCAUGUGUGUAUGGUAUGUGUAAUUUUUCAUGUGCAUGAUUAUAACGACUUUUGAGAGUAUUUGUGUGUGUGCAUAUGUGUGUAUGACAAUGUACUUCUAUGUAUCUAUCGCUCACACACAAUUACGGACACACAUAAAACAUUCAGACAGCUUCUCUCUCUCUCUUUCUCAAUCUAUCUUUCUAUGUCUCUAUCUCUCUCCAUCUGUAUUCAGGCUUGUGUAAACCUCUCAGCCUAAACAGUGACACCACACACCAGCUUACCAGCCCUUUGUGUGUGUGUGU